AAAUGAUCCUUCACUGUGUUCGGAAUCCUGAUUGAAUCACUGAUUACAGUGCAUUCUAAAAAUAGAAUAGCAAUCUUAGAACGAAUUAUUUCUGUGUGAAAAAAAUUCAUGAGGGCAAGUUCACACAAUACUCACCGACAGGUGCGAGUGUACCCAAGAGCGCGUAAUCCAAAUGCUAAUUAAUUCAUUACAGAACCCCACUACAAAAGAAGAAAAAUAAAUCAGAGAAUUUCACCGACACAAAGAGAAUUGUAUAACAGUUUAGAAGUAUCACGAGAUGGUUUAAGCAUCAAUCUCAAAGCCCUUGCCAUAAAUUUCCCUGGAAAAUCCUGACCCUUCACGCGCAGGAGCAUACCAUGCAAUUAUGUGUAUAUCGAACUUUUUCACAACAAUGUUAAGAAAAAUCUUAUUGUCCUUUCGAAUCCGGGGUCGAUCGUUACGUUAGAAAGAGGUCAUUGAACUCGGAAGAUCGAGCCACCCGUUCUCUGAGCUCCGACGUACGGGUCAAGACGAAAGAGAGAGUAGGAAAAAUGGGUGGUAGGAGUAUAACGAAGAGGAGGUGAACGAGCAAUAAAAAUGAAAAAUGAAAAAAACAAAAACAACAAUCAGAAAAAAAGAAAAAGGAAA
rnacentral:lncRNA from 1 species